GACGGGGGGGGCAAGUGUUCUUCGGAAUGACUGGGCGUAAAGGGCACGUAGGCGGUGAAUCGGGUUGAAAGUGAAAGUCGCCAAAAAGUGGCGGAAUGCUCUCGAAACCAAUUCACUUGAGUGAGACAGAGGAGAGUGGAAUUUCGUGUGUAGCAGUGAAAUGCGUAGAUAUGCGGAGGAACACCGAUGGCGAAGGCAAUCCCCUGGGCCUGCACUGACGCUCAUGCACGAAAGCGUGGGGAGCAAACAGG
rnacentral:rRNA from 1 species